rnacentral:rRNA from 1 species
GACGAACGCUGGCGGCGUGCCUAAUACAUGCAAGUAGAACGCUGAAGGAGGAGCUUGCUUCUCUGGAUGAGUUGCGAACGGGUGAGUAACGCGUAGGUAACCUGCCUGGUAGCGGGGGAUAACUAUUGGAAACGAUAGCUAAUACCGCAUAAGAGUAGAUGUUGCAUGACAUUUGCUUAAAAGGUGCAAUUGCAUCACUACCAGAUGGACCUGCGUUGUAUUAGCUAGUUGGUGAGGUAACGGCUCACCAAGGCAACGAUACAUAGCCGACCUGAGAGGGGGAUCGGCCACACUGGGACUGAGACACGGCCCAGACUGCUACGGGAGGCAGCAGUAGGGAAUCUUCGGCAAUGGACGGAAGUCUGACCGAGCAACGCCGCGUGAGUGAAGAAGGGUUUCGGAUCGUAAAGCUCUGUUGUAAGAGAAGAACGAGGGUGAGAGUGGAAAGUUCACACUGUGACGGUAGCUGACCAGAAAGAGACGGCUAACUACGUG